rnacentral:rRNA from 1 species
CCUACGGGAGGCUGCAGUGGGGAAUCUUGCGCAAUGGGCGAAAGCCUGACGCAGCGACGCCGCGUGAGUGAUGAAGGCCUUCGGGUUGUAAAGCUCUGUGGGGAGAGACGAAUAACAUUGCAUGAACAAUGCAAUGGAUGACGGUAUCUUCUUAGCAAGCACCGGCUAACUCUGUGCCAGCAGCCGCGGUAAGACAGAGGGUGCAAACGUUGUUCGGAAUUACUGGGCGUAAAGCGUGUGUAGGCGGUUUGGCAAGUCGGAUGUGAAAGCCCCGG